UACCGAGAAAACUCAUUGUGGAUCGACGCUCGGCUCAUCAUUGCCUGGAGACUCGUGAGUUUCCGAGAGUGGUGAUCACUUUCUUGAAGUGGGUCGUGUCGUCUGGCAACUGAGGAUAGGUCGUUUUACGUAGUGGAUGGUACGAAAACAGUGUUGUUUAUGGUACCCAGUUGUGGUGGGGAGGUUGAUAAGUAAAGAGUGUGCCGAAAAGGAGGUGAACCGGAUUGAAUUUUGGUUUCCCCAGACAGCAACCGGAUCUCGAGUCUUGCUAAGAAUUUAAAGAUGGAGGGUUGCAGGCUUGCAGCAACUCAGGUGAAAAUGAAAGCAGCAUCGAUGACAGUUGGUGAGAUCGUAUCUGAGUCCCAUUAUUGUCCCCCACUAGCACAGUGAACAAUGGUCAAAAACAAAAAUCUCUUCUUUCCAGAACAAACCCACAAGAGAUUUGAACACCCUCAAUUCCCGCACCCAAAUCAUCACAGCAACACCUUAGUUAGACAGUAAAAUUAUGGAUGAGCUUAAAGCUGCAUGUUUUGAAACUUCUUUUCCAGAAAGUUGCACAAGAACUGAGACAUUGAUCAAAAGGGAAAGGGCCACUGGGGAUAUAUACUAAUGAUGCAGAACAUCGAAUGCAAAAGCGGGGUUGGUUGUCCGCACAGCUUCCUUUAUGGCUCGAGCUUUUUUUCUUCUUUUUUUUUCAUCUUCCUUGUUCUUUUUUAUUUGUUUUGAACACUUUGAAAUGGCGAAAGGUAAAAAGGGUUUCAGCGAGAUCAAAGGGGGGAUCGACAUUACACAUGCCAAUGGGGGGGAAAAGUGUGAGCGUGAAGGAACAGGUUUCGAUUUCUAGGAAUUUCAAAACCUGCAUUAAGGGGUGGGGUUUGCACAUGAUAUCAAUCCCAAUGUCCACUAGUUUAUUCAGGUAAUGACUUUGAAAAAACUUGAAAAUGUUGCACCAAUCAAGGGACAGGAACUUGAGAAAAGGGGGGCAAUUCAGGUCCCACCAAGAUCGCUUUUGAGAGGUGCCCAAAAUUUAUUAGGAACCAGAAAAGAUGAAAAAGGAAGAUGUGAUCACUAAUCAGCCAUUGAAGGCAAAUGAUAAGGCAGAACGCUACUUGGAAAAAGAUCCUAAUUUGACCAAUAGUCAUCAAACAAACACCAGAUGGGCUGAUCCACCUUCUUGCUCAUGUUCUUCUCUAUCAGAACAGGUUUGUCUGAAGCAGACGAAGUAUGAGAAUGGUCUAAACAUGACCAUUCGUUCCCUAGAUCUUUCAAAGGAGGAGGUGAAUUCACCCAAGUAGCUAGCAAUUUAUUCAGCAUUGGAUAAAGAGCGGGAACAGAUCGAAGCAAGCAUAACGAAGAGAGCGUGGAUGAUCGAUCAUCAGUCUGAUUGCACAUAUACAUAUACAGAGCGAGAAAAACGAACCCAAUUUGGAAUGGAAAGGAAUGAUCAUUCUGGAAUUCAUCAUCGAUACAAGUAAAAAUGUUCAUCAUGAUUAUACUGUAAAAAUCAAGAAAAGUAAGGAAAAGAAAAAUGAACAAAAGUAUGAUUAUAAAAUGAGAUGAACAGCAAUAACCCCCCCACAAACAACAAGCUGCACUAGCAGCAGCCCCCUGGAUUUUUGAGUAAAAGCCCCCGAUUGAAUCGACCUCCAAAUUCAUCAUCAUCCCUAUACAUACACUUUUCUCUGCAACCUACUCGUUUUUCUUCCUCCGGAAUUUUUAUUUGACAUCUCGAGAUUAUGCAUAACAAUUGCAAUAAAUAUGGAGAGAAGAGACCAUCUCCUCUUACCU